rnacentral:rRNA from 1 species
CCUACGGGAGGCAGCAGUGGGGAAUAUUUGGCAAUGGGCGCAAGCCUGACCCAGCAACGCCGCGUGAAGGCAGAAGGCUUUCGGGUUGUAAACUUCUUUUAAGAGGGAAGAGCAGAAGACGGUACCUCUUGAAUAAGCCACGGCUAACUACGUGCCAGCAGCCGCGGUAAUACGUAGGUGGCAAGCGUUGUCCGGAUUUACUGGGUGUAAAGGGCGUGCAGCCGGGCUGACAAGUCAGAUGUGAAAUCCCGAGGCUCAACCACGGAACUGCAUUUGAAACUGUCGGUCUUGAGUAUCGGAGAGGCAGGCGGAAUUCCUAGUGUAGCGGUGAAAUGCGUAGAUAUUAGGAGGAACACCGGUGGCGAAGGCGGCCUGCUGGACUGUGACUGACGUUGAGGCCCGAAGGCGUGGGGAGCAAACAGGAUUAGAUACCCCUGUAGUC